rnacentral:rRNA from 1 species
UGGUGGAGUGAUCUGUCUGGUUGAUUCCGCUAACGAACGAGAUCCCUGCCUCUAACUAUGUACCAGCCUCGCAUUUGUAGGGCAUUAUCAAUUAGUAGCUUCUGUUACGUUUGAUGGUUCCCGAGAGAGCUGGUUAGCUUCUUAGAGGAACUGUUUAUGCUUUUAGUAAACGGAAGAGAGGGCCAAUAGCA